rnacentral:rRNA from 1 species
UACGUAGGGUGCGAGCGUUGUCCGGAAUUAUUGGGCGUAAAGGGCUCGUAGGCGGUUUGUCACGUCGGGAGUGAAAACUCAGGGCUUAACCCUGAGCUUGCUUUCGAUACGGGCAGACUAGAGGUAUGCAGGGGAGAACGGAAUUCCUGGUGUAGCGGUGAAAUGCGCAGAUAUCAGGAGGAACACCGGUGGCGAAGGCGGUUCUCUGGGCAUUACCUGACGCUGAGGAGCGAAAGUGUGGGGAGCGAAC